rnacentral:rRNA from 1 species
GUGCACCAGUCGCGAAAACUUUACAAUGUGCGAAAGCACGAUAAGGGAACUCUGAGUGCCUCCUAAGGAGGCUGUUCUGAUGUCUAAAAAGCAACAGAAGUAAGGGCUGGGUAAGACCGGUGCCAGCCGCCGCGGUAACACCGGCAGCCCAAGUGGUAGCCACGUUUAUUGGGUCUAAAGCGUUCGUAGCCGGCCAGGUAAGUUCCUUGGUAAAUUUAGCCGCUUAACGGUUAAGCUUUCAGGGAGUACUGCUUGGCUUGGGACUGGGGAGAGGUCAGAGGUACUCCGGGGGUAAGGGUGAAAUCUAUUAAUCCCUGGGGGACCACCGGUAGCGAAGGCGUCUGACCAGACCAGGUCCGACGGUGAGGGACGAAGGCUAGGGGCGCGAACCGGAUUAGAUA